UGCUAGAUUACAGGCUUCUGAAUCCAAGA
rnacentral:piRNA from 1 species